GGCGUGUGGGCUUACACCUCUCAAGUCG
rnacentral:sRNA from 1 species